rnacentral:lncRNA from 1 species
CUGCGCCUGUUUCCCUUUUGGGCUCGGCUCUCCCAGCUCACCUGGCAGAUGCGGCAGACGGUGACGGUGCUCGAUGUGGUGCAAGAGCCCACGGGCAGUGAGAGCUGUAAGGCCGGGUGCUGCUGGGGGAUCGGACCAUCACACUGUGUGCCACCACUCCAACUCCCCAACGCUCUGCCCCGCUCACAGCCUUCACUGGAAUCUACACCGAUGCGCUGCCGCCGCAGUGCUGGGCAGCUGACA